CCUGCGCUGACGCCCACGAGCAGUCUGCCCAGCAUGAUCAUCUCGAAGGAGCCCGCCCGGCGACUGAAGCCAAACAGGACAGCUGCGGCCACCACACAGAGGUCAUUCACCAGCAGGGACCUCUUCCUGUGGCAGGAGGCACCAGUGAGGGAGCUGGAUUGGAAGCAGAGCAGCUGGGCAAGCCGCAAACCAGCACCCAUAUGGGACAGCAACAUGCCAGCCCCCGUUGUCAUAGAUUUUGGAUUCGUUAGCAUCACUCUGUUGUCUGCUAUUCCAGAAGUGCCCGAUACAUGAGAAAAAAGCAGAGCUCUGGGGAAAGUACUCCUUCGAUGUUGGAUAGCGUCUGGAGCCAGCAGUCAGGAGUCCUGGCUUUCUCUCCUCUACCAAAGCUCCCUGUCUGAGGACUACUGGGCGUGUGACUGACUGGAGUCCCCUGGCACGCUACUUCGCGUCUCUCAGAUCCCCUCCGGUCCGUAUCUGCAGAACAUCCGGCUGUGCCCUGCUCUUGAGGAGGUGGAGCCAUCAGGCAAGCGUCCCAGGGACCGACGCCCCUUCUCAGACUUCGGCCCCUGACUCAGCAGCCCGGCCUCCUUAAGAACCCUGGGCCGUCCUCACUGGCCAGGACAGCAGUCCUCCAGAUGGACCAUCUACUGGCGCCCUGGUCGGUAGACAGAUUACACCUUCCUCAAACCCGCUCCUCAGCCUUCUGAUUCAGCACUAGGGACAGGGAGUGACAUUAUAUCUAUACUGCUCCCAAGUCCCAGGGCCCCAGACCCCACAUGACUGCUCCCCACCCCCACUUCAGCUAAUCACAAGCCCAGGCCUCCCACACUCUGACAAACUGGCUGUAAGCUGGGGGGUCCUCGAACCAUCUUCUUGGGUUCCAGCUCCACUGGGAGACCGAAGACUAAGCUGUAUUUCUUGUACCCCUUUGGAGUCACUGCCACCUUUCUCACCCCAGCUGCGCCCCUACCCACACCUGUGAGCAGGCUUCUGUUGAACUUGGCCAAUGGGGAGCACCAGCAGGACCGCAGAGAAGGCGAGGAGAGGGAUGGGGAGGGGGAGUUGUUCCUCUGGUUCCUCCCCACCCCCAUGAGGUCACCUAAGGUUGCCAUGACCCUGGCCAACGGUCACUAGGGCUCUGUUCUUUCCCUCCUGCUUUGGUAACUAACUGUGCCUCUUGGGUGUCCCUCCGUGGGGGGUGGGGGGUGGGGGUGACGGAUCUGCACUGCCUGACUCUCCAUGUCCACGAGUGUUCUCCAGGUGCACUGUGAACUGUCUUGCUGAAUAUGAAUCACACACAGGAGACCGCGGCUUUGGGCUAGGCUCCCGCCCCACGCCAGCGGCAGGGGUGUCAUCAAGCCGAGACGAGGGAGCACAUGUGGUCUCAGCGGAGAACGCAGAGCCCUGUCCCAGCCCACAGGCACCUCAGGGACACCCCAGAGGAGAGGGACACAUGGGAGCAAGCGCCACCCAGUGGACGCUGGGCUGAAGCCCCGGGCAGUGGGCAGCUGUCAGCUCUCCCUCAGUGCCUUCUAGGCCGGUGGUGGUCACGACAGGUACAUACCA